rnacentral:rRNA from 1 species
UACGGGGGGGGCAGGCGUUAAUCGGAAUUACUGGGCGUAAAGCGUGCGCAGGCGGAUUGUUAAGCAAGAUGUGAAAUCCCCGGGCUUAACCUGGGAAUUGCAUUUUGAACUGGCAGUCUAGAGUGCGUCAGAGGGGGGUGGAAUUCCACGUGUAGCAGUGAAAUGCGUAGAGAUGUGGAGGAACACCGAUGGCGAAGGCAGCCCCCUGGGAUGACACUGACGCUCAUGCACGAAAGCGUGGGGAGCAAAC